GAGCCCGUGGCUCAAUGGUANAGCGUUCGACUCAAAUACCAAAGGUCGCGGGUUCGAAUCCCAGUCGAUAUCU
rfam:Schistocephalus solidus strain NST_G2 genome assembly, scaffold: SSLN_scaffold0001094